UAAAAUGAGAGUUUGAUCCUGGCUCAGGACGAACGCUGGCGGCGUGCCUAAUACAUGCAAGUCGAACGAAACUUUCUUACACCGAAUGCUUGCAUUCACCGUAAGAAGUUGAGUGGCGGACGGGUGAGUAACACGUGGGUAACCUGCCUAAAAGAAGGGGAUAACACUUGGAAACAGGUGCUAAUACCGUAUAUCUCUAAGGAUCGCAUGAUCCUUAGAUGAAAGAUGGUUCUGCUAUCGCUUUUAGAUGGACCCGCGGCGUAUUAACUAGUUGGUGGGGUAACGGCCUACCAAGGUGAUGAUACGUAGCCGAACUGAGAGGUUGAUCGGCCACAUUGGGACUGAGACACGGCCCAAACUCCUACGGGAGGCAGCAGUAGGGAAUCUUCCACAAUGGACGCAAGUCUGAUGGAGCAACGCCGCGUGAGUGAAGAAGGUCUUCGGAUCGUAAAACUCUGUUGUUAGAGAAGAACACGAGUGAGAGUAACUGUUCAUUCGAUGACGGUAUCUAACCAGCAAGUCACGGCUAACUACGUGCCAGCAGCCGCGGUAAUACGUAGGUGGCAAGCGUUGUCCGGAUUUAUUGGGCGUAAAGGGAACGCGGGCGGUCUUUUAAGUCUGAUGUGAAAGCCUUCGGCUUAACCGGAGUAGUGCAUUGGAAACUGGAAGACUUGAGUGCAGAAGAGGAGAGUGGAACUCCAUGUGUAGCGGUGAAAUGCGUAGAUAUAUGGAAGAACACCAGUGGCGAAAGCGGCUCUCUGGUCUGUAACUGACGCUGAGGUUCGAAAGCGUGGGUAGCAAACAGGAUUAGAUACCCUGGUAGUCCACGCCGUAAACGAUGAAUGCUAGGUGUUGGAGGGUUUCCGCCCUUCAGUGCCGCAGCUAACGCAAUAAGCAUUCCGCCUGGGGAGUACGACCGCAAGGUUGAAACUCAAAGGAAUUGACGGUGGCCCGCACAAGCGCUGGAGCAUGUGGUUUAAUUCGAAGCAACUCGAAGAACCUUACCAGGUCUUUACAUCCUUUGAUCACCUAAGAGAUUAGGAUUUUCUUUCGGGGACAAAGUGACAGGUGGUGCAUGGCUGUCGUCAGCUCGUGUCGUGAGAUGUUGGGUUAAGUCCCGCAACGAGCGCAACCCUUGUUGUCAGUUGCCAGCAUUAAGUUGGGCACUCUGGCGAGACUGCCGGUGACAAACCGGAGGAAGGUGGGGACGACGUCAAGUCAUCAUGCCCCUUAUGACCUGGGCUACACACGUGCUACAAUGGACGGUACAACGAGUCGCAAGACCGCGAGGUUUAGCUAAUCUCUUAAAGCCGUUCUCAGUUCGGAUUGUAGGCUGCAACUCGCCUACAUGAAGUCGGAAUCGCUAGUAAUCGCGAAUCAGCAUGUCGCGGUGAAUACGUUCCCGGGCCUUGUACACACCGCCCGUCACACCAUGAGAGUUUGUAACACCCAAAGCCGGUGGGGUAACCGCAAGGAGCCAGCCGUCUAAGGUGGGACAGAUGAUUGGGGUGAAGUCGUAACAAGGUAGCCGUAGGAGAACCUGCGGCUGGAUCACCUCCUUU
rnacentral:rRNA from 1 species